ACCGCGCGUCCAACAAGUGGAUCCUAUGAAACGGUCUAAAAAGGAUGCAUUUUGUCAAAAUAGUUAUUACGAUAGCUUUAUAUAGUGGCGUUCAAAACAACAAAUAAGGACAUUUUGAAGAAAGAAGUUUCGAAACUAAAGUUGUGUUUGAUUGCCCGAACCGUCAUCUGAGAGCGAAGAAAAAGAUGCUAGCUACUAGUAAGACGAUUCGCCGGCUAAUGGAUCAUUGACGCUAAAGCCCCGGCAAUCAAGUCAGUUUUGUCGAAGCUCAUUGGCUCAGUGGGGUCUCAUCUCAUCUGCGAGCUUGGAAUGAGUCAUAUGUAGGACCACUUCUCUCCUCGGGUGUCAGAUGUGUGGAGUGUGAAGCUCAGGUAUGGACCUCUAACCACCUCUCGCUGGUGGCCCCACUCCAGCUCCAUCACACUGUGACAGUCUGUCAUGAGGCACAGCUGCAGGAAUGAGUGCUGAUGUAGUUCACCUGGAAAGUUACAAAGGAAGUGCUCAAACUCCCACUUGAGAUACGACAAAUCAAAGGAAAUUUAAAAAGUUGCAGCAGUCAUGCCACUACUUUUGAUAUAGCAGAAGAAAAAUAUAUUUCUGUGCUCAGUUAUAUAUUGCCUUUUAGCUUACAUGUUAAUUAUGUAUAUUCUCACACAUUUCUCGUGUUCAAUUUGAGAAGUAUUACUUUUUAUAUCUUGUAAGUCAUCAUUCUGAAGCACUAACACCUUAUACUGUAUUUCCAGAGAACCAUUUUGUGAAAAAUGUCUCCUCGAAAUGUUCAUCCUCAGGUGCAGCAAAUAAAAAAUAAGAUUCAUGUUUUAAAUGCUGAAGUAUUGCACUUCUUUACCGUGCUUAAUAAUUAAUAGCCCAUCCCAUCACCCUAUGAAUAUUUACAUGCAAAGUGUCCCUGGGAGCCUUCCACAUGCCAGAGGGAGGGA